ensembl:lncRNA
AUUCUAAUCUAUUUCUGAAUUUUCCACACUCAAAAAAAAAAAAAACAAAACAGCAUGGCUCCUCUGAAGGAAACCAAGGAAAACAAAUGAUUUCUGAAAAGUUUCCAAAAAGAACUCAUUCACAAAGCUAGAACUGUUAACUACUUAAAAAAAAGAAGAAGAAGAAGAAAUGAAGAACCCAUGUAUAGGCUGUUUAUAGAACUUGUACUUUUUGAUUUUUAUUCCUACAUCAAAUACAAAGAGGAGGGUGUACCAAAUCAAAUGUGGAAAAUAAGCUACAUGUCUUGUAGGUGAGCUACAUGUCUUGGAUCUCCAGGUUAUCCACAAGGUCUCAAAAAACAAAAUCAAUUACCUUUAUUAAUAUUCAUCUUCAGUAACCACUCCAUUUAAAAUGGGGGGGGGGGGGGGUUUCAAAUAAAAUUUAAAAUGUCAGCUCAAGAAAAACUCAUUGUUGGCAUGUUGUCGUAUAUACCAUGUAACUCUCCACAUUUACGCUCAUACAUAUGAUUUCCACAGGAGGAACAGGCAAACACUCACCUGUCCAGGUUCAGGAAAGUACAGCACGAGCUGGAGGAAGCUCAGGAGCGUGCUGACAUUGCCGAGUGUCAGGUCAACAAGCUGAGAGCCAAGAGCAGAAUUAUUGUUAAGGGCAAAGAAGAUGGAAGUGGUCACUGUAUGAAAUAUGUUUAAACUUUUGCAAUGUUAUUAUAAUAAAGAUCUGCAAUUUAUCUAAAAUCUCUUCCAUUUUGAAGUGUUUUUUUUUUUUUGUAAUCCAAAACCUAUUUCUAUACAGGGAAUAAAUAAUAAACAGUAAACAAACAACAAACACAUCUUCCAGAAAGUUUGACGUGAAAAAUAUGAAUAUCUUUAUCACCAAUUCUCUUAUAAACAUUUUCUUUUUCCAAUUUCUAAGAGGUGAAUGACAUAAUAUGAUACAAAGUUAGUGCUUCAAGACAUUUUUGUGCUAUCUGUACAAAACGAACAAUACGGAAGACUGAAGAAACAAAAACAAAAAUCCCCCUCACAGCAGCAAAAAAUAGAAGAUAAAAUAAAGAGGGAGACAAACACCUGUUCACAUUAAUAAAUCCAUUGCUAUUCUAAAAGCUUAUAAUGACGGUAUACAUACUUUCAUAAGUGGCAAAUAAAUAACUAAUUUAAAAUAGCCUUUUUAAUAAAAUACCAACACCAAGCAAAAUCAAAGCCAUACAAAGUUAUAUCAUGCUGUCAUUCAUACUUUCUCAGACGCUCCAUUUACACCUUUAAAUUAUCUAAAGAUAUUAAUUCAAACAUUGUAAAUAUUAAAACAUCUCAACACAAAAUUCAAGUGAAAAUUUACACAAACCAUCAAAUGAAAUCAAAGAUCAUGAUUGAAGAAAAACUGACUAACUGUCACCCCUUUAAGCUCAAAUCUCUACUAGAGCUGAGGCAAAAUGUCACCGUUCGUUCUAUUAAGACCAAAUACUGAUUAUAUCUCCAUCUGCCUGAAUUAAAUCUGUGGAAUCUCAUACCAUAAAUAACACAUUUAAAUAAAACAUUGGCAUGACUCAAUGUUGAAAAAAUAACCUUCGAGUUAAUAUAUAUUUCCAUGCAGUAUCUCAUCUCACAUCUCAAAAAAGCUUUUAAAAAUGACGAAAAAUCUUUUUUUAUUCUUUUUUUUACGUACAUUAUCAUGUCUUGGGCAGUUUCCAAGCUGCAACUGUUGCUCUGUGAAUAAGUUUUGUGCUCUGAAAUGGCUCCCUAUCUGACAUCUAAUGCACUAAACAGGGUGUUGAGUGGCUAUUAAAGCUUAGCCUUAGGCCCUACAGUGCACUGCAUAAUGAAAUGGAAACCAUUUUGGUAUUAGCCCUGGAAUCAUCAGUCGCACAGACACUUUCCCAUCAUGCACAGAGAAAACAACACAUUCGUCUCAUCAAAAAAAGUCACAACUCUGUAAGAUAAGCAUAGUUCUGAAGCUUCAUAUUUACAUGAAUACAACGCGUGCAAAUGAGCAGAUCGCUUUCCUACACACAGAGAGAAGCAUGAGGUGAGAACCCAGACUUUGUAAUAGGGAGCAUGGAGCUAUACAACAUAUACAUUCACUGAGCACUUUAUUAGGAACACCUGUACACCUACUCAUUCAUGCACCUCUCUAGCCGCCAAUCGUGUGGCAGCAGUGCGGUGCAUAAAAGUGCAGUGCAUCGAGUAAUGUUCACAUAAACCAUUAGAAUGGGGGAAAAUAUGAUCGUGAUUUUGACCGUGGCAUGAUUGUUGUUGCCAGGUGGCCUGGUUUGAGUAUUUCUAUGACCGCUGAUCUCCUGGGACUUUCACACAACAGUUUCUAGAGUUUACUCAGACGGUGCAAUAAAGAAAAACGUACAGAUUGGCAGUUCUGAGCACGGAAACGCCUUCUUGAUGAGAGAGGUCAAUGGAGAAUGGCUAGAUUGGUUCGAGCUGACGGAAAGGCUACAGUAACUCAGAUAACCACUCUGUACAAUUGUGGUGAGCAGAAAAGCAUCUCAAACUGCACAACAUGUCACACCUCGAGUCAGAUAGGCUACAACAGCAGAAGACCACAUAGGUCUGUGAGCCAAGAAUAGAAAGCUGAGGCUGCAGUGGGCACAGACUCACCAAACUGGACAGUUGAAAACUGGAAAAAACGUAGCCUGGUUUGAUGAAUUUCGAUUUCUGCUGAAGGACACAGAUGGAAGGGUCAGAAUUUGGUGCCAACAGCAUGAAUCCAUGGACCCAACCUGCCUUGUGUCAACAGUCCAGACUGGUGGAGGUGGUGUAAUGAUGUGGAGAAUGUUUACAUGACACACUCUGGACUCGUUAAUCCCGAUCAAUCAUCGCUUGAGUGCCACAUCCUACUUGAGUAUUGUAGCUGAUCGAGUGCAUCCCAUCAUGGCCACAAGUUAGCAUCCUCUAGUGGCUACUUCCAACAUGAUUAUGCAUCAUAUCACAAAGCAAAAGUCUUCUCGAACAGGUUUCAUGAACAUGACAGUGAGUUCAGUGUUCUUCAGUGGUCUUUCCAGGUGACUGGGAUGUGGUACAACGAGAGAUUCGCAGCAUGAAAGUGCACCUGAAAAAUCUGCAGGAAUUGUAUGAUGCAUGUCAUCAUGUCAACAUGGACCAGAAUCUCAUAGGAAUGUUUCCAACAUCUUGUGGAAUCCAUGCCAUGAAGAUUUGAGAUACUAUACUAUUAGCAUAGUGUUCCUAAUAAUGUGCUCAGUGAGUGUAGUUUUUAUGUUUUUUAACACACCCUCAUUGACUUCCCCUCACCACAUGCCAUUUUAAAGCAUCUCACUUUAUUAGCUCAAGGGAAGUUUACAGAUGUGCGUUAGAUGAGGAAGUGAGAGAGCCACUGUUGAAGAGAUCAAUGUAGUAUUAAUGUUCCAGGUGAUAUCAUCAACAAGACCAGGAUACAAAAAAAACAACCCUAUUAUUAAUUAAUGUCUUAGCAAACUUUCAAUACUUGACACCCAAAUACUGGUUUUAAGGCACCCUCAUUAACAAUUCUGAGGUCACUCAGUAGCCCCCCCCCCCCCCCCCCCCCACAUGUGCCGGGUUUGUGCCGGUAAAAAUUUUGUUUGUGCUGCUUCGGUUUUUAAAAUAUUAGACAUUCAAUUAUAGGCGAUGAAGUCACCAACACCCCCCCCCCCCCCCC